AAGUCGUAACAAGGUUUCCGUAGGUGAACCUGCGGAAGGAUCAUUACCUUGCGGCGUUUUUAAAGGUUCGCUUUUAAAAACGCUUGGUUCCCGCCCCACGCCACUCGUGAACUUGUUUUCUCUCCCGCUUCACUUCUCGAAGAGAAGGGGCGGCUAAGCUUUCGUUGCUCCUUCGGGAGGAACGGGGCACCUUGUUUUUACACAAACGAUUUUAACCGUGCGUUUUCAUUAGUUGACUUUGUCGUUAACUGUCGGUAUACUUGCAAAAGUAUGCAGGCACGUUUAAUUGAGAAAUUAAUUGAACGUUAAAUUUUACAACUCUUAGCAAUGGAUAUCUUGGUUCUC
rnacentral:misc_RNA from 1 species